GGAGAGGUGCCCGGAGUGGUUUAUCGGGGACCGGGACUUCGGUCCCGAUCGGGUGAAUGCCCGCGCAGGUUCGAAUCCUGCCUUCUCCG
rnacentral:tRNA from 1 species